UACGUAGGGGGCAAGCGUUGUCCGGAAUCAUUGGGCGUAAAGAGCGUGUAGGCGGCCCGGUAAGUCCGCUGUGAAAGUCCAGGGCUCAACCCUGGGAUGCCGGUGGAUACUGUCGGGCUCGAGUACGGAAGAGGCGAGUGGAAUUCCUGGUGUAGCGGUGGAAUGCGCAGAUAUCAGGAGGAACACCAAUAGCGAAGGCAGCUCGCUGGGACGUUACUGACACUGAGGCGCGAAAGCGUGGGGAGCGAACAGG
rnacentral:rRNA from 1 species